rnacentral:tRNA from 1 species
UCCCUAGUGGCUCAGCUGGGAAGCAAUCCACCUGCAACGUGGGAGACCUGGGUUUGAACCCUGGCUUGGGAA